CUGAAGAUCAUGCACAUAGAAGAGGGGACGGAUAAUGGGGCCAAUCCUAUGUUUCUUAUGGAGUUGAUGGAGAUAACGAAGCUCUGGAUGAGGCAUAGAGCAAAGAAGAAACGGACAAGAUAGGUGCCUCUAUGAAAGAGAAAUUGAAAGACUUGACUGAACAAAUAGAUCCAUCGCUGCACAAAGGAGAGCGUCAAGCUGCCAAAGCACUUCUCGCCCAAAUGAAAUACUUUGCGAGCAUUGAAGACAAGGUGAAGGAAAAACUUUUAGAGCUAAUGUAAACUUUGUUGACUUUGUUUUGAUACUUCUUGGGUCUUUUUAAAGCUGUUUUGAAAGUCUUCAAUAAUUCUAAUAAUACAAUUAGUAUUUAUUUAUUUAUUAUGUACAGUAUUUGUUAA